rnacentral:rRNA from 1 species
GAUCAUGGCUCAGGAUGAACGCUGGCGGCGUGCCUAAUACAUGCAAGUCGAACGCUUCACUUCGGUGAAGAGUGGCGAACGGGUGAGUAGUACACAAGUAACCUGGCAUCUACAGGGGGAUAACUGAUGGAAACGUCAGCUAAGACCGCAUAGGUGUAGAGAUCGCAUGAACUCUAUAUGAAAAGUGCUACGGGACUGGUAGAUGAUGGACUUAUGGCGCA